AUCAACCUCUGUGGGCCCCAAACAAACAAGUGACUCUACCCGAGUCACAUUGCCGCGCUUGAAAGUUCACAUGGGUAAUUAACCGACAGAGAACCCCCGUCACAGACCGGUCGGACAGUACUAAAAACCUGUUCUACACCCAUUACAUCAACGACGACAACAACAGCUGAAGCCGGACUACAGUGACAACAAUUCAGGUCUCUCGAAUGCACGUGAGUCCAUUAUUUCGUCAGAUCUCGUACGGAUCAAACAUCGCACAUUAGCUCAACAGCAAACAAAACAACCUGUUCGAUGUUUUUAUUUUCCAUACCUUUCAUACGAGGAUCUCACGCUGCGACAACGAAUGAUGGUACAACGAAAUUUAAGAAAUUAACAAUUUAUAUAACCCCUGGUUAAACACACACUUUGUAUAUCCAACAAAUUCGCAAAAUCUGCUCGGUACGAUCAUCAUCAACCAACUCGGCUAAUAUUUCAACAUCAACGAUCGAUCGGCUGUACAAGUUAGGCACAGCGCCGGUACUUGAUCUCGAUCUAAGCGUGGCGAGCUUGCAGCCUCAGCGGCAGUG